UAUCCAAAAGAACAUUGCAACAGUUAUAGAUAAAAAAAACCAACCUGUUUCUUAUACUUCAUGUAUUGAUCGAGGAACCAGUGAUGAGUACCAGAUCUGUGGUAAAACCGCACAAUGCACCCGUGUUGUCAUCCAAUCCAUCAUUAUGUCAUGUAGAACGGGAGUGGGACAAGUCUAUACAUGUAGAACGGGAGUGGGACAAGUCUAUAUAUACAUAUAAACACUGUAAGCCACACACACAUUCCUAUUAUCCCUGUACAAUCUGGUGAAGAUGAAUGAUAUACUCAUAUUUCUAGUCUCCAUUGUUAUCUUUGGACUUAUUCUGUUUACCGAUGUCAGUGAAGGCAUUAUACUCUGCUGCUCCAAGAUAUCAUGCUACUCGUUUUGUCCUUGUACAAAUAGUGUUCUCUUGUGCCGUCUUGGAGAACUUUUAGGCAGCUAAAACAAAAUCAACACAAUUACGGAAUACAAGGCUUUCAAAAGAAAACUACUUGUUCUUCAAAUGCCGAAAUACGGUUUUUAUAAUAAAUUUGGAUUUCUAAGUGAAGUCAAAAGAAUGCUAUUUUUCAAAAUGGAUGUUUU